GCCUACGGCCAUACCACCCUGAAAGCGCCCGAUCUCGUCUGAUCUCGAAGCUAAGCAGGGACGGGCCUGGUUAGUACCUGGAUGGGAGACCGCCUGGGAAUACCAGGUGUUGUAGGCU
rnacentral:rRNA from 1 species